AUGGGGGAAAUUGUCUCUGUGUAGAUUGCUUUGACUUGAAGAACCUUCCCAAUCAGUUCUGGAGCCCAGGAUUGUUCACCAGACCUCUGUGCAAGGCCUGGCAUCUGUUGUGCUGAAGGCAGCAUCAGUCAGAGAGCAGCACAAAUCCUGCAGCUCGGCACAACUGCUCCCUGCCCACAGCUGGAUGAGGAGGAGACAACACCUGCAUGGCUGAAGUGAAAUGGGCUCCUGGCUGACUGAUACAAACAUUGUCUGAGUAUGGCACAGCCCUUGGGCAGCCCUUUCAUUAGGGUCUCAUUUUAAUUGUUGAGAAAAUUUUGUCAAGGGCAGCACGAGAUACAAUGAAGCCCAUCAAUGCCUUUGUAUUUGCAAUCAACAGCGUGUGUCUAAACCGAGUAAAGCCUAGAGACAUCCUGG